rnacentral:rRNA from 1 species
UACCUGCAGCUCAAGUGGUGGCCGCUAUUAUUGGGCCUAAAACGUUCGUAGCCGGUUUGGUAAAUGCCUGGGUAAAUUGUGUAGCUUAACUAUACAAAUUCCGGGUAGACUGCCAAACUUGAGACCGGGAGAAGCUGGAGGUACUCCUGGGGUAGAGGUGAAAUUCUGUAAUCCUGGGGGGACCACCAGUGGCGAAGGCGUCUAGCUAGAACGGGUUUGACGGUGAGGAACGAAGCCCUGGGGCGCAAACCGGAUUAGAUACCCGGGUAGUCCAGGGUGUAAACGCUGCUUGCUUGAUGUUAGUUGGGCUCCGAGCCCAAUUAGUGUCGGAGAGAAGUUGUUAAGCAAGCUGCCUGGGAAGUACGAUCGCAAGAUUGAAACUUAAAGGAAUUGGCGGGGGAGCACAGCAACGGGUGGAGCGUGCGGUUU